UAGGGAAUCUUCCACAAUGGACGAAAGUCUGAUGGAGCAACGCCGCGUGAGUGAAGAAGGUUUUCGGAUCGUAAAACUCUGUUGUUGGAGAAGAAUGUAUCUGAUAGUAACUGAUCAGGUAGUGACGGUAUCCAACCAGAAAGCCACGGCUAACUACGUGCCAGCAGCCGCGGUAAUACGUAGGUGGCAAGCGUUGUCCGGAUUUAUUGGGCGUAAAGCGAGCGCAGGCGGUUUCUUAAGUCUGAUGUGAAAGCCUUCGGCUCAACCGAAGAAGUGCAUCGGAAACUGGGAAACUUGAGUGCAGAAGAGGACAGUGGAACUCCAUGUGUAGCGGUGAAAUGCGUAGAUAU
rnacentral:rRNA from 1 species